rnacentral:rRNA from 1 species
GCCAGCAGCUAGCUCUCUGCAACUCUCACAUGGUUGCCCACUGAAGCCAAGCAGGGCUGUGCCCGGUCAGUACCUUGAUGGGAGACCACAUGGAAAAGCUAAGUUGCUGCCGGAA